rnacentral:rRNA from 1 species
UACGUAGGAUGCAAGCGUUGUCCGGAAUUAUUGGGCGUAAAGAGCGCGCAGGCGGUAACUCAAGUCAGAUGUGAAAUAUCCGGGCUUAACCCGGAGGGGUCAUUUGAAACUGAGUAACUAGAGUACAGCAGAGGAUAGCGGAAUUCCCGGUGUAGUGGUGAAAUGCGUAGAUAUCGGGAGGAACACCUGUGGCGAAAGCGGCUCACUGGACCACAACUGACGCUGAGGCGCGAAAGCUAGGGGAGCAAACAGG